GGUACAAUGGUCCAGCUGGUUAAGACAUCCAUCUCAAUUAUGGAAGAUGAGGGUUCAAAUCCCUCUUGUACCC
rnacentral:tRNA from 1 species